AAUUGGACAAGUUACUUUACCUCUACUCUCAUGUUUAUCCCCACAAUGGGCUUGGAAACUUAGGAGCUGUUAUGAAGAAUAAGUGUGUCUCAAGUACCUAAGAUCCCUGAGGCACAGGAAAGUCACUUGAUAUGCUGAGUUAGUGGUCACUCUGACAGGGCCCAGAGCAACCCCGGGCCCAUGGCAGGUGCUCUUGUGUUGGCUGGAUUGGUUAAUUGAUCAACUGAUUGAUUGAUUAGGGAAGGUGACAGUAAACCCAUGAUUGUUUCUACACUAUUCCCUUAUUACAGGACAAUCUGGCUGUAGGAGGUGACAAGGAGAAGGGAAAUGAGAAAUAAAUGAGUAGGAGAAAGAAGAAGAAGGAAGACAGGGAGGAAGUGGAAGGAGUUGGGAGGCAAGGAAUGCCACGCAUAAAAGUCAUGUGGACAGUGACUGCUUCCUGGAGGAACAGGGUGAUAGGCAUUGCUCCCUGGUCCCAGGACAACCCAUCCCCAUUCCUGUCCUUGUACACAAGGAAGACGUCUCUGGUGAUUUGGAAGAUUCUGAUACAUAGAUCAACAAUAGUUCAUCACAGAGGCCCCACUGAGACCCAGUCUGAGCUGCCUGUUGCUGCAAGACCCCAACCUUCAAGCAAGUGUGGUGCCCACAGAAGCCCCUUGUGCCUUGCUGUUUGCAGCUUGUCGAGUCCCUGAUGCCAUGCUUAAGGCUGCCUUCCUUCAACAUCUUCCUAGAAGCUUCUUCAUGAUCUUCAACUGGAGAUUUUUCUGUGGGAACAGACAUCAGAGCAAAACUGCUCUUACACGUCAUUGGAAUAGGCCCCAAUCAGCAGUCAUGUUGCUGGUCCAUUGCAUUCUAUCUGGAGUCUUAAAUGCAUUUAUGUAAAAUGAUCUCGCAUCAGGUGACUGCUGUGAUGAGAACAAACUGGUCAUGAAGGUCAUCCUCCAAGACAGUUAACUAUGAAGAUGGCUGACAGUGUCCAGCAGCAAAGUAUGGGAUCUCAGGUUUUCUCUGAAUGGGCCAACCUCUCAAAAGUGAGAUCAUAACCAAAAUGGGGGACUGAGAAUGGAAGAUACAAAAGAACAGUGGCCUGGCCAUAUAUAAAAAUAGGACUCUGACAUGAGGUCUGCAGCAACCAGCCCAGGAAAUCAACCCACUUUCUUUAGUUUUGGCAUAUUACCUAGAAGUCAGACGUGUAGGUGUCAGACCGCUCUCUCGAGCAAACAGCCCCGGAAGCUAAAUAAUAACCUCUGUAUUGAAUUGACUGGCCCCAAAUGGCCAAGACUUGAUUUGCCACUGCGAGUAUCCCUGAAUUUUGUCCUCACUUGCAACUUAAGACCAGCAGAUAAAACCACAGAUGCACCCCUAACAAUGAUAUAGGAUGCCCUUCUUCUAGAACACUCACCAUAGCUUCCUUACGCCAAUAGUCUCCUGCAUCACUGAGGCCUUGUAUUAUUCUGUCUCUACAAAGUUUCUCUAACUUCUGUCCAUCUCUGAGUCUGCCCAAAGGCAAGGGAUAGUGGCUGACUCCCUUGCUCUAGCAAAUUUUGAAGAAAUCACCUGUACUUAUUAUCA